rnacentral:lncRNA from 1 species
GUUUUAAGCAUUUUUCAUAUACCAUUGGCCAUUUGUAUGUCUUGAGAAACAUCUAUUAAGAUCCUUUGCCAGUAUUUUAAUUAGAUUAUUUUCCUUGCUAUUGAAUUCUUUAAGAUCUUUAUUUUUUUUGUGUAUACAUAGAUACAUAUAUUAUUAACGUUGAUUAUUUAUCUGUAAAUUUAUUUUUAUAAUUUCAACUUUUAUUAUAGGUUAAAGACUACACCUGCAGGUUUGUUGCAUGAGUAAAUUCCUGAUUCUGAGGCUUGGAGUUACAAUGAUCCCAUUACUCAGGCAGUGAGAAUAUUACCCAACACGUAGAUCUUCAAGGCAAUGAAGAUGGACAAGGAACAUAUGCCAGUGCACAUCUAUUAUAAGCCAUUUAUCCCAGACUGUGAUGCAAGUGUGCUUAAGUCUGAAAUGCAAGUGACUCGUACUUACAGGCAAAAUACAUUCCAGCUGAGGAAAAAAGGAUUUUUGUUGCUGAUUUAAUGGAGUGACAGCCUUUCAGAAGUCUUUAAAUUCACCAUUUUCACUGAUGUCACCCUGUUACCAGAAAGGAGUCCUAAUUCUGACCCCAAGAGAAGGUCCUUAAAUCUCGUGCAAGAAAGAUUUCAGGAUUCAAAGAAUUAGCUGGACUAUGUCUCCAGGUGGAUGACUCUAUGGAAACUUUGAGCUGUAUGGAACAACCUCCUGAUCAUCCAUUUACCUUGCUUUGGUACAUUAGGACUUUAAUAGAAACUGCCUAAUGUGCAGUUCCUCGUGGUAUAAAAUUGAGUUGCUGAUUUGCAACCUUUCUUCUAUUUGAAGGCAUCACAAGCAUGAGCUUCAAAGCCUGUGGCUGUUUGACACUUAAAGCAACCCAGAGCUGCACAACCCUCAAAAAGGUAAUUCUUUUCAGUGCCCAUUUCAGAAGUGGCCAUGGAGGAUAAAAUACAAGGGAGAAACUCCAAGAGGAAAAGUCCUC